rnacentral:tRNA from 1 species
GCGGGGAUGCCCGAGUCUGGCCAAAGGGGCUGGGCUUAGGACCCAGUGGCGUAGGCCUGCGCGCGUUCAAAUCGCGCUCCCCGCACCA